UGUCCAGUAACUCCUAUCCCUACCUCCCCGUGGUGCCGCCUGGGGUACGAGUAACCAUAGGGAAGAUCGGGUAACCAACCCUGGUGGGAGCUUGGUCGUAUGAUGACAGGGAAGG
rnacentral:ribozyme from 1 species